AUUCGGACUUAGUCUCAAAAGGGAGGGGUAGGUUUCGUUUCCGGAGCACAACUCGAAAACUUCUUAAUAUCUUUCAGCAAAACUUGGCAUAUAUGUGAGGCAGAACCCAAAUGGUGCCUUUUGCUAUUUACAGAUUUUUGUCAUUUUUAUUUUUCUCGGUUUCCAUGGAAAUGAUUCGGACUUAGUCUCAAAAGGGAGGGGUAGGUUUCGUUUCCGGAGCACAACUCGAAAACUUCUUAAUAUCUUUCAGCAAAACUUGGCAUAUAUGUGAGGCAGAACCCAAAUGGUGCCUUUUGCUAUUUACAGAUUUUUGUCAUUUUUAUUUUUCUCGGUUUCCAUGGAAAUGAUUCGGACUUAGUCUCAAAAGGGAGGGGUAGGUUUCGUUUCCGGAGCACAACUCGAAAACUUCUUAAUAUCUUUCAGCAAAACUUGGCAUAUAUGUGAGGCAGAACCCAAAUGGUGCCUUUUGCUAUUUACAGAUUUUUGUCAUUUUUAUUUUUCUCGGUUUCCAUGGAAAUGAUUCGGACUUAGUCUCAAAAGGGAGGGGUAGGUUUCGUUUCCGGAGCACAACUCGAAAACUUCUUAAUAUCUUUCAGCAAAACUUGGCAUAUAUGUGAGGCAGAACCCAAAGUGGUGUCUUUUGCUAUUUGCAGAUGUUAGGC
rnacentral:lncRNA from 1 species